UUUUGCCUUCUUGCAUUUCUUUUUCUUUGCAGUGGUUUUGGUCACUGCCUCCUGUACAAUGUUAAGAACCUCUGUCCAUAGUUCUUCAGGCACUCUGUCUACCAGAUCUAAUCCCUUGACUCUCUUCAUCACUCCUCUGUAAAAUAAUAAGGGAUUUGAUUUAGGUCAUUCCUAUAUGGUCUAGUGGUUUUCCCUACUUUCUUCAAUUUAAGCCUGAAUUUUGCAAUAAGGAGCUCAAGACCUGAGCCACAGUCAGCUCCAGGUCUUCUUUUUUUUGACUGUAUAGAGCUUCUCCAUCUUUAGCUGCAAAGAAAUAUAAUCAAUUUGGUUUUGGUAUUGACCAUCUGGUGAUGUCCAUAUGCAGAGGUGACUCUUGUGUUGUUUUACCAGAGUUCACUGUAGCGUGUAAAGUACCAGAGUUCACUGUAGCAUUUAAGCAUUUAUCUCUCAAUAUUUCAUGAAAAUAAAAUCCAAUUCACAUCGUUUUUUCAGUAUUACAUCAGGUGCUUAGAAAUGGUCUGAUCUUAAAGGAGUCAUUAAGCCCAAAUUCUUUAUGAAAGCCUAUGUGAAUGUGCUCUCAGGCAUUAGUGAUCUAAAUAAUGCAGCAAGGGGGGUACCUUUUUAAAGAGCUGGCAGCCAAGGGUUUAGAUAAAAUAGUUUAAAUGGAGAAAGUUUGCUGUAACUAUUUUGCAUUCCUAUCUGCUUUCAGCCCACCUCUUUGUUUCCUGCAUGUUCUAUCUCUAAGCAUCACCAUUCCUAAAAACAGAGGAAGUAUUGCAGAAAAACACAGUACGUGCUAAAACUGUGAGAUGAACAUAACAGUAGAGUAAGACACUUAACUCUGAGAGCAGAGUUGAUGCAAAAAAUGGAGUAAAAUUUUGUCAGGUGGAGGAGGGAUGGGGGAAGGGUGUUCUGGCACAGAAUUAUGAAAACACCUGGCAAACCUGGCAGGUAGAGAAGAUCACCGUGGCAGGGUCUUCAUGAGUCUGGUGAAAAGGCAUAAGGAAGCAAGGCAUGAAAGAGAGACUGGGUCACAUUAUGAGGGCAUGUAUGCCAAGAAAAGGAGUUUCGGUUUUGUUUAGGAGCCAGUGAACAUCCAAGAAAUAUUUUUCACGUUUGGCAGAGAACCAUGAUCAUCUUUUCUCUCUCUCUCUUUAUGACCAUGUGGUAGAAGAUGAACUGAGAAGAAGCAGCUAUGGAGAAAAGAGCAGGAGAAGGGUGGAGCGAAACUCCCACUUCUUGAAGCGGAUAUUGUAUAACAUUGCAAGGAGGACAAGGAAGCAAGGAUAAGAGUCAUAAAUUGCAGCUGGAAGCUUGGAACUGAUUCCUUUACUCUGCAGUAGCUCGGAAAGGAUUCAGCUCCAAGUUUAAUGAAUAAUGAAACAUGAUCUGAAGAAAUUCUAUGCAAGAAAUACUCUGUUGCCUGGUUAUUAAGUGACUAGUAACUGUACCUUCUGCUCUACAGGAGUAACAAUUCUCUUUGUUCACCUUCUCUUUCAAGAAUUUGAGGUGAUAGUUCAAGAUUCUCUUGAAAAGCUCAUUUUAAUUGUAGGUUAAUUUCUAACACAUGUUGGUGGCCCUAUGGUCAUGACAGAGCAGAUGAAGAAAAGUACUGGCUUUAAGAAUGAGCUUUUAAAAUAAAAGUUGGAACUUUUUCCUCAAAGUGUUUGCUGAUUAUGUGUAUUAUGAAAUAAACAAUACUUUUGAGAAAUAUGGAAUCUUCUAGGUGGAAGGGACCUUAGAGGAAACCUGAUCCAAACUCCUUGUUCUUCCUGAGGAACUAAAACAAUUCAGUGGAACUGGAAAGUUGUUUAUUUGCCACAUGCAGUGCUGAUGUUUUAGAAACUUCCUUUAUUGUUAUUUUCUUCCAUUCUUUGCAACUUUUAGGAAGGCUGCUUCCUAGGCAUCUUAUUAAGUCUACCCUAUAAAAAUGUGCUUACCAAGCAAGAAAAACAGAAACUAUAGCCAGGUUUACAGUAAGUCUUCCAUAAUAUAACCAAAUUAUAAGAGAACAUAUUAAAAUAUAAGUGAGAUUACUAAGAAUUCAUAAACAUCUUUUCUGGAAUACAGCUAGUAAACAGCAUCAGCUGUACCUCCACUUACCAUUUUAAGAGUUAAUUGAUGCCUUGUGGCCUUAACUUCUAUAUCCAACUCUUAUCCCUUAGAGAAGAUGUUAACUCUGAAGCAUUCAUUUCCUUGUGAACUUGGCAGUGUGCCAGGUCUAAUAGACGGGUCCUUUGGUCAUUAAGCACCAAUAGAAGUGUUGGCUAUGAGAGAACUAGAAAAAUAGGGGAGAAAAGGCAUUUGUUAGCAGGGUGAUUCAGUCCUUGUAUUCAUUGUAUGUGCAAAUCACAAUGCAUAUUAGACCACGAAAAUACCUAGACUAAAAAUGUUAUUGUACCUGGUAACAACUGUAAGUUUUUUCUAUCUUGUAAAAUUAGAUUAGAACUCUGAAAAAUUUAAUCAGUGAAGCAGUUAAAUAGAUUAUAAGCCAUACCUACCUUGCCCCUCAGUCUUAUAAUCAAAAGACCUUCUGUCUUGUCCAAACAGCAAAACCUUCUAUAAGACACUGUGUGUGUAUUAUGAAACAUAACAGUUGUUUCAUAUUCCCAAACCUUGGAGCCCAGGGAACCCAGGCAUGCCAGGCGGAAAAACCUUUGUUCAUCACACCCUUGGAGAAAUAGCAGGUGCAGAGUACCACAGACCUUGGAAAUAAGUAUUAUUAUGCUUGUGUUUGCUUUUCUCCCUCUUUCUCCAGGUCUAGGAAAAGAUGAGACCGGCUGGAAGAGAAUUCUAUUACUUUUCUUCCUACUUAGGUCAGAAAAUAAGAGCAAAGGAAAUCAGUAUGCCAUUUUUUGACAUAUUUGCUUUCAAUAGACAGGUGGAGACUUACCUGUGAAGUACCAUGAAGGAUAGUACUUGUGUAACUGCUAAAAGAUAAAAUAUAUUCCUUUUUAGUUGUUGCAUUUUAAUUCAUUUCAAUCUUGUUUCGGGCGGGGCACAUGCAUAUCUCUUGAACAUAGAAUUUCUAGGGCAUGUACCUUCUCAGAUGGCCCUGGAAAUAUUUCUUUAAAUUUGUUAACGGCCUUUUAAAAGGUUUGAAGCAUUUCUGUGAAUUAAUAAUAAACUGAAAACAACCUCAUUUCCAACAGGAUGUGAAGCAUAGACUAGAACUCCAUUGUGCUUCCUGUUUCUUGUCUGAGUGAGAAGGAUCUAGUAUAGGUAGAGUGCACACUCAUCCAGGUUAGCCACAAGGCUGGGGUUAGACCUUGGGCUCUGAUGUUCUUAUUAGGUGUUCUGAGACUUUGAAAUUUAGAGACUUGUUUCUGAGAUGAAGCGUUUCUUCAUUAUUAGAUGUGUUCUAGUGUCACUUUUGAACUUUUACCGUAACAGAUGUUACCAAAGUUUCUGAUUGUCUUUCUGGGUGUCUAGGAUUGUUGUGCUAAAUCCCAGUGGAAAAUGUGUUUCUAGGCCCACAAGGCUGUUCCUCUGCUACACAGCAGGGACAGGCUCUUCUCCAUCUGUCUCAAUCAUAGAUUUCCCCCUGAAAUUCAGGGGAACGUUUGCCGUGUUAAGUCAUUAACAACUGUUUCAAAACAGUCUGAUUUCUAACGGUUGGUGCAUGUGGAGAUACCUAAUUAAAAUAAUUCCAGUCUCGUUAAUAAGAUAAGUGUGUUUUCUAGUUGCUGUGGGAUUAUUGCUAUCAAAUACGAAGGGCUUGAGGCUUAGUCGAGUGAAUUAUGCUUGUGUUCCAGUCCCUUUACCAAUUUAAUUGUGAUUUAAGAGUUUAAAUCCUUAUGUUUUUUCUUAUAUUUUCAUUUCAAUGAAUGGGAGAGGUAACUUGGGGAAAUUUUAUAGUUAAGAAUACUGACAUCAGACAUAGAACCUGUAGAUUCCACAGGAGAUUUGGCUACUAGAGGUCACAGAAAUUGAUGUGGUAAUACAUGAUGAAAUGGCCUCUUGUCUAAACUGUCCCACUCCCACAUCUUUUCCAUGAGUUCUUCAACUGGAAUUGAUCUCUUCCUUCUCUGAACUCCUGGAGUGCUUUAUCUAUAUACUUCUUACAAUGUUUUCUACCUUCUGCUGUUUAUAUACACAUGUUUUACAAAUGCUGCUUCUUAAAGGCAGGCUUAGUGACGGACCACCACUGUCUUGUCUUCCAAGGAGCCUAAGGCAAUGGCUUGCACAUUGUGAUUUACUCAGAAACAUUUGUUGAGUGAAUGAUCAAUAGAAAUAUUUUAUCAUUGACUUUAAUCUAUAUAAUCAUACUCCAAGUCUUGAGAAGGGACUUAGAACCUGUUCUAAGUAUGUAAGAAUAUUUUUAUUUUUAAAUGUCAAAAAUACUAAAUUCGAAUCAUUAAGAAACUUUUGUAUGCUGAAUUUUAUAUAAGAAACUGACAUAUGAUCCUCUUAGCAGAAUCUACAAAACCUUGCAAACUAAAUACCAAGAAUAUAUAUAUACACACACACGAGCCUUCUUCAAAACAGAAUUCAUUAAUUGUACAGAGCUUAGAGGUCUCACUAAGUCUCCUGUCCUAACAACACACACUAUUAAAUGGUAAACUAAUGGACAAACAGAAAAAACUCACCAUGCAUCUGAGGAGGUAUGAUAAAGUGAAAUAUUUGUUCAGGUGCUGCUUCCAGCAGUCAUUGGUCAUUCCCAGCUCUGUAGGCCUCUGAAAACAGUUUCCACUACUGCUCUCUGAUACUUUUCUGCCCCUUGGUGGUGAUCAUUAUUAAUCUCAUUUCCCAGACCUUAUCAUUAUUAAAGCUCUACCCUCCUAGAUAAUUCUCAUAAAACAAACCUUAGGAUUUUGACAGCUAAUGAUAAUGCCUUUGUUAAGGCUCCUAGUAAGCAGUCAUAUAGGGACACCUGAGAAGAUAGAAGGAAAUCAAGGGUGGGUGGGAAAGAGGUGAUAGAAAGACUGGAGAGGGGAGGAACCUGGAGGCUGGGUGCUGGCAGGCAGGCUGGGAGUAAGAAGCAGCAGAGGUCAACACAGGAUGGGCUGACAGGCAGGCCAGUGCCUAGGAGAAGAUAACAAGUGUGUGUAGGAGAGCAGUGGUUCACGUCUGUCAACAUCGUUCCUUUUUGUGUGUGUAUCUUAAAAACAAAGUGUAUAUUCAAGUUUUUCUCCAUCUUAUUAGUAUUCAAGAUGCCUUUUUGUUAGUGGUUUUGUGUCCUUUGCUUCUAGAGCUUGUCAUUUUAGAAGUAGAGAUCAAAAGCCAAGCCACAGUCACAUGAGAAUGGAAACUUAUUACUUCAGGUUUUGGGGCAGAUGUUUCUUUACUUUAAAAAAAAAUGUGUCUGUCUCCCCAGCUGUGGCUGACCUCCUCAGGCUUACGGUGUGAAUGGCUGCAGAGAUUGUUUUCAUGACAAAAGGAGAUCCAUCACUGCUUUGAACCACCCAAAACUGUUCACCUCUGCUGGCAAGAACCCGAGCCAAACCUGUCUGAGGCUCUCCAGUAGCUGCUCACACUCUUUUAUAUGUGAAGCAAAAGAAAUGGGGCAUUUGUGAGAUAGGAUGUUAUUUAGAGUCAAGAGACAGCUGUGAUUGACUGCUAGGUAUGUUGGGAGUCAGAGACCUCAAUUUAAUGCUUCUCCUGAAGCAUUUGGUAUGGUAGCUGGAGGCAAGGUAAAAUCAGCUUUUAUGGAGCCUGCUGACUUGAGAUAGUGUUUGUACAAAGGGCCUAAACAGGAGGUAACAUGAACAAAUGUUAGCCAGGCUUUGACUUUAGACCCCAAAUCAUGUUUAACACAUGACCAGGGCAAUUAUCUACUUAAUGAGUUGAAUUAUGGAAUCCAUCUGCUCAUUCAUUUCCAUUCACUAAAAUCUCCCUUUAGACCUUAGUGAAAGUUGCUUAUUCGUAUCUGACUCUUUGUGACCCCAUGGACUGUAGCGUGCCAGGCUCCUCUGUCCAUGGAAUUCUACAGGCCAGAAUAUUGAAUAGGUUGCCAUUCCCUUCUCCAGGGAAUCUUCCCAACCCAGGGAUCGAACCCAGUUCUCCUGCGUUGCAGGCAGACUCUUUACCAUCUGAGCCACCGUAUCUCUAAGUAACAAGAGUCUCUAAUAUUACAGGGAGGUAGCAUCUUUGUUCAUAAUCUAACAGUCUAUGGCUAAAACAACGUGUUUUGGGCCAGUUUUCUUCCGUGUGUCAGCCUUGUAGUAGUCACGUUGGGGAUCUAGCCCCAGUAACAAUAGGAGACUGGUGGUAGCAAAAAUCAGUGCUUGUAUUCCAUGUCACCUGCAGUAAAUUUGGCAAGAGCCUGUUAGUGAAAUUUGGUGUAUGUCUCUUGGUUUGCUUAGUGAACAGAUUGAUGGACAGUUAAAAGAUCUAAACGCACACUAUCUGUAAUGUUUGACUGCUUCCAUAGGUUAAAUUGCCUUUUGGAGACUGGGAGACUGUAUAGAACUUGUAUUGGUUUCUUAUUAGCCUGUGACCAUAGGAUAGACUUACAAUUAAAAGAAAAUCUGAAAACCUUGGUUGUAAGAGCAUAAUUUGAGAUAAAACUUUUGAAAUUCCUUUCCAGUUUCGUAGAUGGAAAUAAAAGAGAGAUAUAGACCAACUGGAGAAACGCUGUCAAUGCUAAUACUAAUAACAGCUACCACUUCCUGCGAGCCUCUUGUGAGUUAGGCACAGUGCUGACAUCAUUACCUCCUUCACAUCCUAACAAUACUGAAGGAAGGUUUUAGAAUGACUGUUUUACAGGGGAGGAGACUGAGUCUAAGACAAGGUCAGUAACUUGCUGACGACCACAAAAUUAGUAACUAGUGAUCUGGGAUUCGAACCUGGAUCUGUCUGACACAGGUGUCCUGCACAGUUUCUAUAGUUGUGUGCUUUAAGAUGGGGAAAAAAAAAAAAAAAAAAAAAAGCCUGCAGAGAAGUAGUGCCAAAACUUCUAAGGCACUGUAGCCGAAAGCAGAGCUUUCAACACAUUAUCAAAGAUCACAAACUAACAACAUGUGAUGAUCAGAAUGAAUUAGAGUGUGAGUUACUUAACUAACACUCUGGGGUAAUUUCAGGUGAAGGGAAGGAUUAAUAGCUCUUAUUUUUGCAUGUGCCACCACAGGGUUUUUAAGGAACUGAUUUUCUAUGGUUUAAAAAUGACAAUGUGAGCCCUGUGUUUUCUGUCACUGCGUUAGGCAUUAUUCAGUGCAGACACCAGGAACUUAUUUUUCUCCAUCCAUCUACUGCUGCUACUGAAAACAGAUGUUCUCUAAGCCUACCAUGCCAGUGCUUCCUCUGACAAGCUUGCAUAAAGUAGUGGUAUUGUGUUUGCCUUUCCUACUAUUUCAAGAGUUAAACAGAGAACUAUAGUCUCUGGUGCACCAGCCUUUAUAGAUAGAUAUACUCUUUGGGAUCCCAUAUUUAAGUGAAAUUAGUUCUGAAGUCAGACUUUAAAUUUGAACUAAGAAUAGGGGAACUUGAGGAGUAAGUAGAUGAUGAAAGAUCUUGGAUUUUAUCUUUAAAAAAAAAAAAAGGGAGAGGGUG